UGAGUAAAGUAAAACAUUGGUCCCUGGAAACCUAAGGGUUUCUCCGCAAGUUUUGUCCAUGGAGGGUGAGUCAGGGUGUGAGUUCAAGCUGAAAGGUGUAGCUGAUGGACAACAGAUGACUAUUACUGUACCAGCGAGGGAUGGAGGGGACUAGGUUAGCUGAAAAUGGUCAUUGAAGUUAAUUCUCAUGGAAUUAAACAUGUUCGAGUACCAGGUGGUACGAUGUUGAAGUUACUCAUGUCAUGCUCCCAGGAAAAGCUCAAACGACCUUCAACAAAAGGAUAUACCUACGGGCGUGAGACACCCCUCUCUAAAAGACUCAACAAAAUAACCCCGUAACUUUGGGAGAAGAGGUGCCUCCUCACAGAAGGGGUUUAAAUACUAAGUUCUUGCGGGACAUGUAUUGAUAU
rfam:Populus trichocarpa isolate Nisqually-1 chromosome 10, whole genome shotgun sequence.